UUAAGUAAAAAACACUCCCACCUACAAUUCCUCAAAACACUCCCUUUGGAUUCCUGAACAAACCCUCAAUAACAAAGAGUGAUUCCUCUCAGGAACCUCUCUCUCGAUUCGAAACUUUCACUAACCUCUCUCACUCGAUGAACUCGUCGCUGCUUCACGAAACCCUUCGUUCUUCCGUCUUCAACAUCAAACUCACAGAUCUGUCACAGAUUCGUUCUCAGAUUCAGCUUCUCACAUUUGUUCUCUCAUUUUUCUCAGCAAAUCUUCGAUUCAGAAUCUCAGUAAAGCCACGAAAUAAUUCUCAAGCUUCGAUCCAGUUUCUCACCAAUUUAGAAUCUCAAGCUUCGAUUCGUUUCUCAAGCAAACCCAGAAAAUCCUUCUCAGCUUCUCAAUAAGCAACGAUUCAGAAUCUUAAGACUCGAUUCACGUUCAAUCCAGAAUGCCGAUGGAAUUAGAUACCACCGUUUUGCACGAGUCACACCACGACCGAAUUCCAAACCGAAACCGAACCGGCUGAAACCGGAACUGACUUAUGAACCGAUAUGGCUAAAAUCGAUAUCGGAAGAAGCCCGCGAGAUCCUUAUGCGUGAGUGUUACCAAGGUCUAGAGGAGAGGACUAUAUCAACCUAAGUAAACUCAGAAGACAGCCUAUGUUGAUGCAUGUGCCUCUUAUAGGAGGUCUGAUGCUUUGAAUGGAAAAAUCAUUGUAAGUUAUAUAAUGUUGUUAUAUUUAUCAUAAGUUGCAUGGCUUGUCGGCUAAUAAUAAAGUUCCUGCUUUCAGGUUAGUUUUGAGACUUUUAUGGUUAUACAAUACAUAAAUAUGAUAUGCCAUAAGAUAAGUUAUCUACGUUGUAGGCAUGUAAAACGUGGGUUUGUUAGUGCUUUGUUUCUGUUUUCAAUUUGUAAGGCUAUAUAGCCAACAGUUUACUUUGAAUUGUAUAAUAAGGUAUUCUCUCCGAAUCUGUAUAUCAGUGCUUCAGUUUCUACAAUUUUAGGAUUAUAAAGUUUAUGGUUCUAAGACUCUAAUGUAUCUAAUUUUAAGGUGAGUUUUCAAAUGUCUUUCCAUCUUUGUUUUAUACUUUUGCUGCAUUGUUAUUGUAGUACUAAUAUGACAAUGUAAAGAGAAACACUAAUAUGACAAUGGUCCUAUUAGAUAUAUUAUAUCAUGCUUCAUGACAAUGUAAAGAGUAUAUAGCUCAGUUUGUAAUGGUCUAAAGUUUUAAAAAAGUAGCUUCUCAUAGUUUAAAGAUCACUUUGCUCUGUUUUGUAUAUAGUUGAUUGAAGUAUGUAUAUGUUUUCUUUUAUUCAAUCUUAAUAAUAUACAAAUGGAAACUUAUGUUAGGGAAAUUUUGCUUAUUUGUCUUCCUCAUAUUCCUGUGUUACAAAAUUAAGUGCUAUUUUUUGACACCCUCAUUGUAUAAUAUUGUAGGUUUGAGUUCAAAUGAUGGUAACUAAGAAGAUGAUGGAGCAAAAUUAACAUGUUUCCUUUGAGCACAUAUAUUAUUGAUCAUAUCUAUUGUGAAAGUGUAUAUCCAUGUUGAAGUGAAAUUUGGGAGCAGCAAAUUUAAGCAAAUUUUUUGUUGUGAGCAGCUACAUGGGUGCUACCUAAGUCAAGGAAAAAGAAUGUGAAGUAGUAAGAAGAGGAAGAAUUGAUGAUUUUAAAGUUUGAGAGCUUCUAUGGUUAAACUAUAAAACAUGCUUAUAAUUAUUUGUUCAGAUUUUUCUUUUAUAUGAAUGUUCUGUUGUGUUUUUCUCCUUAUAGUUCAACUGUCGGGUUCCUCCAUGUUUAGGAUAAAUUGGAAACUCACUCAUCUUUCUUCCAUGGCCGAACCACACACUCCACCAUCACUAUACACUCACUCAAAAUUCAUCUCUCCACCAUUUUCAUCCUAUCGAAGCUUGUUUGAAAGCUAGGAGUUGUGAUGAGCUUCCUCUUCUAAGGUGUUCAAUAAUCCCACGGCAUUAACAGAGGAGGAGCUGUAUGAAUUGUGAAACCGCUGGGCAACUUGUUUUCUUGACCUAUAUAAUCAUGAGGUAGAUAAUGAUGUUGCCGAUGAGGCUUAGGAGUUAGCUAGGUUAAUUUGUAUGAUGUUACGAUGGAUUCACAUUAAUUAGGAUGUUUUGAAUUGUAAUGACAUUUGGUAUUUUGCUUGAAUGUUAUAACAUUUUGGAUCGUUGGUA